ensembl:lncRNA
GUCUAAAUUCGUACUUUAUUUCUAACACUUACAGGUUUGUUUUGUCCCCGUUUCCCUGGCCCCCAAAACAACAGGCACACAGAUAGCGAUGAGUUAAGGGACAGUAGAGAACAGUUUCAAACCCAAACGUUUCCAACAGAAUCAGGUUAUAGAAUCAACUCAGACAGAGAGAGCCUCGAGGUCAAAAAACAGCAUAUUGUAAGCAUACUUCAAAACAGAAACCAAAGAAACGGAUACUAAAGCUCACAGAGUGGUGUUUGUUUCCUCUUUUAUCUUCACCACCGCCACCACCAUCAUCACCAUCAUCAUCAUCAUUAGGCUAUAUUAAAGAACACUUUUGGAGUUUACAUCAUAAAAUCGUGGGAGUUGUACAAUGCGGAGAAAAAGAAAAAUCAAAGUGAGAAGAUACAGUGGAGCUCUUUGGUUUUCACUAUUGAGGUUUUUUUUCUUUAGCAGUAAAAUCUAUCUUUGCUGUCCUCUUAACCUUUGGAUUUAAGCUGCAUUGUAGAAAAAAUAGAAAGGAAAAUGUUUCUUUUUUAAAAAAAUUUCUCCUAAAUAAAUCGACAAUAAUACGGGGCAAACAAUACUGACUGAAGUUAUUCUCUCAUUUAUUUUACUCUGUCUGGUAGUAGGCUAGUACUUUUUGUGUUCUCAAGGCCAAAACAAACAAAAGUAUUUCAUAUUUUCACGGUGACUUGAGCAGAGUAGUAAAAUUAACAUUCACAGCCACAGAAGAACUACAGUAGAAAACUGCCAAGGCCUGAAGUGCUCUUAUUAUCUGACAGUGUUUUCAUAUUAACGUCAGGCGCUGGAUAUCCUUUAUUUUAUCAGUUACAGUCCCUAACAAGAAUCCUGAAUGCUUAUAUACACAUGGAAUGACUGUGAGUGUGUGUGUUGUGUCGGUAGCGUAGCGUCUCGCUGCGGUAGUUUUUAACUUUGGUAUCAUUCUCAGUCUGCCGCAGCCGAGUGUCGCCACACAGGCACACAUACAGACAGAGCUGCACUGCUGUUGGAGCAAAAUAAACAACACAAAUGUUAAAAAUAUAAAGUUCAGUUUGACAUCCACGCAGCUUCCAAGCUCCACAGUGGACCGAGAAACACACUCGAAACAGAAAGUGUAUUUCAAGUAAAAACACAGAAAGCCGGAGCGUUUUUCUCCUCCGACAGCAGUGAUGAAUAUUCACACACCUCCAUCUCCACCAAACACAGCCGCUUCCUCCCAACACGCCGCUGUGUUAAAGCCAUAAGAACAACUGGUUCAUGGAAAUCUUUGUUUUUUUUUCUCUUUUCCUUCAUCAAACUAACUUGCUAGGGCCAGUUUCACAUCCCUCGCUCCUGAGUUCAGACAUCUUUUUAUUUUUUUUUCAGUCUUAUUAUUUUUUCGUCAUUAAAGCUUGAAUGUCUAUUUGGUAUUUUUCAUCAGAGUAUCAGAGGUAUGAGUUACAGCCCUCGUCCUGAAGAGGGAAUCAGAAAGCUUUUGUUAAAGAGAGCAGAGGAGGAGACGUGAGCGGAGGAAAGUCAGCCCAAAUGUUGGAUAUGGAACCAAAAGAAAUGUGACAAAAUGCUGACCAGUUGAACCGGUUUGGAGUGUGUGAAACUGGGCUGAACAGGUGACAUUUCAUACAUCAGUUCCCUUUACAAACGCUGACAGCACAACAGACUUGUUUUAUGAGGCUAAACUUGGACUACAGACAAAACUAAAUCAGGCUGCACCACUAAUAGUGAAGAUUUCAAGAUUUCAGACACAAACUGACUCAGUUUUAACUCGGCUCUAUUUGAUCAAAAACAAGCAUUUUUUUUAGAGUUUCGAUAAACUUUUUUUUAACUCCAGAACAGUGACCUGGACCAUUUUUGUCGACCAAACAGGACCUUCAUUAUACUUGUUUGGUUGUGAAAAAACAUCUUCUAAUCAGAAAUUUCACUGCAAGCAUCACAUGUUUAAACAUAAGGGCCAAAUAUACCAGUCUCAGGGGACAUUAAAUUCAGCCUCUAAUCAUAAAACUGCUCAUAUGUUUGGUUAUAACACGCUUCAGUUAUAUCUGGAUAAAUGAGGAUAUCAUUUGUCUGUAGCAUCCAGCUUCUGUUAUGCUAACUUUACUUAGCUACUCUUAGAAUAGUGUUUUGUAAAGAGGUUGCUAUAGUGUCCUAAGAUUAUGAAAUGCGAUUUCAAAUAUUCUAGUUUACAGUUUUUUUAAAACAGCAUUGUGCUUGUCAGGUCAUCUAUGUCGACGAUAUAGUUUAUUAGCUCUUUAAUUCAUCGGUCAAACUGUAUAUUAGCGUUGUAGGUGCCAUUAGUGACAUGUGAACUUUGGCAUGUUUGGUAUAAAUAUUUAAUAAUAGCUAAUAUCUACAUAAAAGCUGAUUCAUGUGGUGCAACCAUACUUAAUUUUGUGAUGUGUAAAUCUCCACUUCGCAAGUUUAAGAUAAUAAUAUGAUAAAGCUUCACAUCCUGGAAAUGCAAAUGACGUUAUGAUCAUUUUUAAAAUCAGGGCAACAGGGGAUGUAAAUGUCAUUAGCUGUGUUUCCAUAACAUAUUUCUAAAAAACAUUAACAGAAUUGCCUUUUUUUUUCAAACAAAUCACUUAAGAUGGUUUUGACUUUUUAAAAAAGGAGUUAAUGGUCAAAAUCUGAGUUGGAAAUGGAUUUUUCAAAUAAUUUCUAACUCAUUUGAUUUACAGAAGUUUUGUUCCCCCUGGCUUCUUCUAUUCUGUUUAUUACAGCCAUGUAGCCCACAGCGCCACCUUGUGAUGACACUAUGCAGACUAGUUUAUUUGCGCCAAUGCAUUUAAUGGAAACAAGACAUCUUUUUAUGUUUCAACAUUAUGUGCAACAUUUCAAAGGUUUAACUUUUCUCUAAGCUACGCAAAUCGCUUGACAAUUGUAUGGAAACACAGCCACUGACUGAAGAUUUUCGAUACUGAAAUCCACAAUAUUGAUAUUUUAGCAGCAGCUAUAGAAACAUUUUUAAGAAUGAUGCCAACAGUGAAAUUCACCUUGACUUUGGCACAUAAAUUACACUUUAAAUACGAGUUAAGUGAAGUGGAGAGAAUCUGUACCCAUAAUUAUACUGUAUGUUGUUCUGAUGUUACUGGACCUGGAUUAUUUACGAUAUUAUCAUUAUUAUCAAUAUUUCAUUCAUCAGUAAUGCUGCAUUCUACCGCAGUGACACACACUCCAACUUCUUUGUGAUGUUUGAAAUACAGGACAGCAAACUUCGAUAAAACCAGUUUUCUCUUCACAAAGCUAAUAGUAAAAAGUUCCUCCGCUACAGUUUCCCUGGUACUUUCUCUCUCUGUCUCAGGAAACAACAGUCUUUAGGUUUGGUUUUGCUUUGAAACAUUCGUUUGGCAUCUUCUCAUCUUGUCUUGAUCUCAAGAACACCCCUCUUUCUGCAGAUACAAGCCUCACAACAACCCCUGAAAAAACUAUUACAAAGAUCCAGAAAGACUUAAAUAGAAUCCAAUAAAUACAUAAAUAAAGGAUCAAUAAAUAAACAAGGUGAGAGACAAAGAAGUUCAUAAAAUACAAACAGACUAUUUUUCCCCCAUCCCCGGAAAAGCACACACCUCCCUCAUACAAUAAAUACAAAUAUUUUUUUUCCAACAAAGAGCCCGUGAGAGAUAAAGAGUUUUAAAGCUUUUGGUUCUUAAAUCAAGUCAUCGUCUUCGGUCAUCAUCAAAGGAUAAUAGUCCCAGCCUUUUUAUACAUGAGCAACAAGUAAGAGCAGUUGAACAUAUAUCAUUUCCUCCUACAAAACCUAGAAGAACUAAUGGAUACAUUCCCUCUAAAAGUGGACGUUAACAGCCUUUAAUCAGACGUCUGUACUCCCCACUUCCCUCCCCCAUAUCAUCUGUAUCAUUGGUUGCCUUCAGUAUCUGUGUCCAUUUACAUUAAAGCUUCUCUCUGUUUUCAGCCUUGCUCCAGUUUUCUCAUGUUUUUCUAUCACAGCGAUCAAUUCCAACAAGAAAUAUCAGCUUGUAGAGCUGCAUGUUCUUAGAAGAUUAGCUUAAAUCCAAAUAAAUGUUAUUGGUGACCAUUUAUCAAAGAAUACCGCUGGUUUUUAGGGCAAACAAAGCUCAGUUUUUUUGUCAUUUGUCAAGAAUCCAGAGCCUUUCUUUCCUGGUACAAUCAAGAAAAGUCUUGAAGACUUUUAGAAUUGACUCAAGACCUUUCGAAUAUUCUGUACGCAUUUGCUAAAAUGUGCAAAAGCAUACUUACAGAAUUUUCCCUCAUGGUUGAUUUAGAAUUUGGCUUUAAGUCAUAUGUACAGUUACAGACGGGUGACAUAUUAAAGGAAAAGAUGGAAUAGCGCUUUGUUAUUGGUUUACUGCACAGUACAGCUAAGCAAUUAACAUCCAAUAAUGCUCUUGUAUGGAUAAAAGUGUCCCAGUUGAGUUUGAUUUUGUAUCAACGUGGCGUGACUGUUGAAGACGGUUAAUUGUUGGGGUACAGAUGGCAGGAGCUUCAGUCACUGAAGACUGCCCAACUGGAUUCAAUAGAAAAAAGUGGCUCCAGGACAUCAGUUGGUAAUUGAAGUCGAUGGUGCACGUUUGAUGAUCAAGAUGCUUGUGCAUUCAUGGGAUAUGUAAGGAGAAAACAGAAAGGGAACUCUGCAAGUAGAGUCCAUCAACAAUAACAAAGAGUGAUAACACACAAGGUGGAUGCGAAUAGUUGGGAGCACGUCGGAGAGUGUGGUGUUGCAAAAACCACAAAGUUGUGGAAAGAAGUUUUAAAGUCAGUCCUUAUUUCCAGCCAGUGGGUGAGUGCAGGUGUUUCACACACCAAAAGAGGUAAAGGCCUGAAUGUUUGACCCCUACAGUGAGGAGAUCCGGUGGUUUUUGUUAUUCUGUAGCGGCCAUUUUGUCCCUUAGAGGGAAGAAUCACUGCAAAUCAAUACAAAGUUGUUCUGAGUGAUCACCUUUACCCUGUGAUGGAACCUUUCUGUCCUGGUGGGAGUGGCCUAGUCCAGGAUGACAAUGCUGCUAUCAGAGGGCGCGAGAGGCCACUGAGACAUGUGAUGACAAUUAUAUGAAUCAUUGAAUUUUGUCCACGGGAGAUUUUGGACUGAAGUUUUGGACAGCGCUUUGCACCACCAUCAUCAAAACGAAGAAUGGCGUUCUAUUGCUCCAGUAAAGUUCCAAACUCCGAGAACCAACGUAAAGAACCAACAAAACUGUUCUACACUCCACAAUAUAAUGCCUAUUACAUAUACAAUUUGCACCAAUCGUUUUGAGUUACAACAACUUCUAAUCAAAUUAUGUUCACCUAAACAAUUUCAGUGAGCUAUUGGAACUGGCAUUUCUUCUACAAUCAAAGGGUUUUAAGUCGAUUACAAAAAAAAUUAAGCUGGUCAAAGUCGUAUUAAAACAAUUAUGAAAACAAGAUUUUACGUUCGCAAAUUAAAAGAAAUGAACUUGCUCCAAUGUUAAUUUGGUAGGGGAGGAAGUCAAGAACAAUGUAGUCAUCAAACCAAUUUAAUUAUCUUAAUACAGAGUGACUGCAAUGUGCAGGUUAAAUUAUACAAAAUAUUAAGUUGAUGCAAAAUGACCUUAAUCAAUAAAUUAGACUUUUUUCUUUAUCUUACAACCAUGCAUUAAUGAAGUGAAUUUGAAUUACUUUAUAGAGAGCUGCAGCACUUUUCCUAUAAUUUGUCAUCCUUCUGUUUGUGAUCAUAAUCAAACGAAAUUUGCGCAUCUUAUUACUAAAUAAGAAAUGUCAUUUUUGGAGCUUUUUUGUAAAAAUCUGGUAACUUCAAGAAGCAGAAAACGAAAAGAAAGUCGAUCGUUGUGAUUAGAAAAUUAUGAAAACAGGUUGAGGCUGAAAAAUGUCCAGAGUUUUGCUUUAAACCGUCUAUAAUAAGCACUGACUGAUAUUAUCUUGCCCGACAAGUGUGUUGUGUGUUUUUAUGGUUUGGUUCUGUAUGCAAGAGAAUUAUCUUUACACACAUGCGCACACACACACAAAUACACUCACUCACACUCACACACACGUGCACACACUCAUACAGCUUGUGCAUUGGUUUGGUUGUUCUAUUUGGUAUGGUUGUACAUCUAAAAAGUUUUGCUUUUGGUUUUCAGUUUUGGCUUUUUCACAACAUUCUGGAUCAACUAAAAAAAACCAACUUAUUUUAUCUUGGAAGCUACAUUAUCACAGUUAUUUCCCACCAUUUAAAUAAAAUAAAUAAAUAAACAAAAACCUGGAGCACAACCGAAGAGACAAGAAGAUAUGAAAAUAGGUAACACGUCACCGAACCAAUCACUCCCCC